CUCACUUCUCAAAUCAUCGAUGCAUCGACUGCGACACGUGUCCGUGGAUGGCUCCGGAGCACUUCAAGUGGGUUGAUGAGAAAGCUGCGGUCACAAAGCAACCAAUCUCUAGGGAGGAAAGAAUCAGAGCUCUUCAGAAGAAGAUGGGUAUAAAGGAUUGUUCUGGCUACACGACUGCACAAUCUCUGUAGUUGCUGGAGCAAAAUGGUAGCAAGAAAGCUAAUUCAGGAAUUAUUAUAAUAGUGAUUCAGCUUGCGAAGACAAAACCAUAUGAAGGCAAAAUUACUAUUACAAAUGUCUUAUAUGCGUCCAAGAUAUUAAUCAAUCCCGACAUACUUGAAGUUGCUGAUCUAAAAACAAGUCUGAAACUUGUGGAAGAUUCUUCGUUUCAACGAUUUAGUCAGAUUCCAACUGAAAAAGCUUAUUCCAUCGAGGAUGAUUUUCUGUUAUUAACUGAAUGGAAGACACUUGAUGAAAUUCGAGAGGCACGAGAGGAAGGUGAUGAUGAUUCAUUUCCUCAAUAGUUAGAUGUCUUUCAGAGACAGCUUAGAUUUGAACAAGGAGUCGACAGGUCAAGAAUAUUUCACUAAUGAAGCUGAAUCUUCCAAAAAGAAAGAUGAUCUUGAUAAUAUCGCAAAACAACCCUGGGAGAUAAACCGAGCGAGAAAGGUCAACAACCCGUUGUGAGACUAUGGACGCAAGAGGUCGCAAGAGGUCAGGGAACGCUGAGUUGGUGACAUGACGUGUAAAGUGAAUAUGACGAAGAUUAGCAUGCGAGUAUGGUUGGCCUUAAGAGUCC